rnacentral:rRNA from 1 species
CUGUGGAGUGUAUAGAAGUGAGAAUGCCGGAAUGAGUAGCGCGAAUGCAGUGAGAAUCUGCAUGGCCGAAAGCCUCAGGUUUUUGGAGGAAGGUUCGUCCGCUCCAAGUUAGUCGGGAGCUAAGGUGAGGCCGGAAGGCGUAGCCGAUGCACAGACGGUAGAGAUUCCGUCACCACCAAAAGAGUUAAGCACAGGGACACAUUUGAAGUCUCAGAGCCGGGUGUUGGUUCCGGUAGAGAUCGAGGGAAGUUAGUACCGAAGUCUGAGAUGGAAGAUGGCGAGAAAAGCUGUGUGUAUUUCUGAGGUGCCCGUACCGCAAACCGACACAGGUAGGUAGGAAGAAGAUUCUAAGGCCAACGGGAGAAGGGUUGUUAAGGAACUCGGCAAAUUGACCCCGUAACUUCGGGAGAAGGGGUGCUCCAGAGAUGGAGCCGCAGAGAAUCGGCCCAAGCAACUGUUUACCAAAAACACAGGUUUGUGCUAAAUCGAAAGAUGACGUAUACGAGCUGACGCCUGCCCGGUGCUGGAAGGUUAAGAGGAGAUGUGCAAGCAUUGAAUCGAAGCCCCAGUGAACGGCGGCCGUAACGAUAACGGUCCUAAGGUAGCGAAAUUCCUUGUCAGGUAAGUUCUGACCCGCAUGAAAGGCGUAAUGAUUUGGGCACUGUCUCAACAGCCCGCCCGGCGAAAUUGUAGUACCGGUGAAGAUGCCGGUUACCCGCGACAAGACGGAAAGACCCCAUGGAGCUUUACUGUAGCCUAAUAUUGGGUUUCGAUGUUGCAUGCACAGGAUAGAUGGGACACAGGGAAACAAUCGCUUUGGCGGUUGCGGAGUGGCCGUUGGGAUACCAUCCUUGCGAUAUUGGAAUUCUAACCUGCGGCUCUGAAUCGAGUCGGGGGACAUUGUUAGGUGGGCAGUUUGACUGGGGAGGUCGCCUCCUAAAAAGUAACGGGGGCGUUCAAAGGUUCGCUCAGCUUGAACGGAAAUCAAGCAAAAGAGUGCAAACGCAGAAGCGAGCCUAACUGCGAGACUGACGGGUCGAGCAGUAACGAAAGUUGGAGUUAGUGAUCCGGUGGUAUGUGAGUGGAAAUGCCAUCGCUCAACGGAUAAAAGUUACCCUGGGAUAACAGGCUGAUCUCCCCCAAGAGUCCACAUCGACGGGGAGGUUUGGCACCUCGAUGUCGGCUCAUCGCAUCCUGGGGCUGUAUUCGGUCCCAAGGGUUUGGCUGUUCGCCAAUUAAAGCGGUACGCGAGCUGGGUUCAGAACGUCGUGAGACAGUUCGGUCCCUAUCUGUCGUGGGCGCAGGAUAUUUGAUGGGAGCUGUCCCUAGUACGAGAGGACCGGGACGGACGUACCUCUGGCGCACCAGUUGUUCCGCCAGGAGCAUAGCUGGGCAACUACGUACGGAUCGGAUAAACGCUGAAAGCAUCUAAGCGUGAAGCCGACCCAAAGAUAAGAUAUCCCACUGAUUAGAUCAGGUAAGAUCCCUUGAAGACUACAAGGUUGAUAGGCACGAUGUGUAAGUGGAGUGAUCCAUUCAGCAAGAGUGUACUAAUAGAUCGAGGGCUUGACC